AGUUUGAUCAUGGCUCAGGACGAACGCUGGCGGCGUGCUUAACACAUGCAAGUCGAACGAUGAAGCCCUUCGGGGUGGAUUAGUGGCGAACGGGUGAGUAACACGUGGGCAAUCUGCCCUUCACUCUGGGACAAGCCCUGGAAACGGGGUCUAAUACCGGAUAACACUCCUGCCUGCAUGGGCGGGGGUUAAAAGCUCCGGCGGUGAAGGAUGAGCCCGCGGCCUAUCAGCUUGUUGGUGAGGUAGUGGCUCACCAAGGCGACGACGGGUAGCCGGCCUGAGAGGGCGACCGGCCACACUGGGACUGAGACACGGCCCAGACUCCUACGGGAGGCAGCAGUGGGGAAUAUUGCACAAUGGGCGAAAGCCUGAUGCAGCGACGCCGCGUGAGGGAUGACGGCCUUCGGGUUGUA
rnacentral:rRNA from 1 species